rnacentral:rRNA from 1 species
AGCGAACGCUGGCGGCAGGCUUAACACAUGCAAGUCGAACGGGCAUCUUCGGAUGUCAGUGGCAGACGGGUGAGUAACACGUGGGAACGUACCCUUCGGUUCGGAAAUACUCAGGGAAACUUGAGCUAAUACCGGAUACGCCCUUUUGGGGAAAGGUUUACUGCCGAAGGAUCGGCCCGCGUCUGAUUAGCUUGUUGGUGGGGUAACGGCCUACCAAGGCGACGAUCAGUAGCUGGUCUGAGAGGAUGAUCAGCCACACUGGGACUGAGACACGGCCCAGACUCCUACGGGAGGCAGCAGUGGGGAAUAUUGGACAAUGGGCGCAAGCCUGAUCCAGCCAUGCCGCGUGAGUGAUGAAGGCCUUAGGGUUGUAAAGCUCUUUUGUCCGGGACGAUAAUGACGGUACCGGAAGAAUAAGCCCCGGCUAACUUCGUG